rnacentral:rRNA from 1 species
AGCCCGCUCAGAACUUAAAGGAAUUGACGGGGCCCGCACAAGCGGUGGAGCAUGUGGUUAAUUCGAUGAUACGCGAGGAACCUUACCUGGGCUCAAAUGUAUGUUGACGUAUUCUGAAAGGGAUACUUCUUCGGACAAUAUACGAGGUGCUGCAUGGUUGUCGUCAGCUCGUGCCGUGAGGUGUCGGGUUAAGUCCCAUAACGAGCGCAACCCCUACCUUUAGUUGCCAUCAGGUAAUGCUGGGGACUCUAAUGAGACUGCCAUCGUAAGAUGUGAGGAAGGUGGGGAUGACGUCAAAUCAGCACGGCCCUUACGUCCGGGGCGACACACGUGUUACAAUGGGUGGUACAAAGGGCAGCUACCUGGCGACAGGAUGCUAAUCUCCAAAACCACUCUCAGUUCGGAUCGGAGUCUGCAACUCGACUCCGUGAAGCUGGAUUCGCUAGUAAUCGCGCAUCAGCCACGGCGCGGUGAAUACGUUCCCGGGCCUU